AGCGUUCGCUGCGGAAACGCUGCGCGCUGCGGAGGGCACGGGACGGAAGGCGGCCGGUCGCGGAUUGCCGCGGGGCCGCUCGCUCAUUGGAAACCGGCGGUCAGCCUAGGUGACGGAGACUCCAGGUCCUCUCCACCUGCACCACUGGGCAAUGAAGAACAACCGGUGCCAGCACCAGCGCCAACCCCACCACCCUCUCAACGCCAUCAACUCCAGGAGAGGGAAGGGACCCGUGUGGGGCACAAGGAGUAGGCGCAACAUGUCCCCUGAGGAUGGGGGGGAGGAAGCAGACUCUACUGUUCUUCCCCUAUGGGCAACAGGGCUGACAGAUCAGCAUGGCAAUCAACCUCACCAUUAUUGGCCUUUGCUACCACAGCCCUGUAUAACUGGAGGACAUAAAAUGCUCCUUUUCCAAAAACUCGAAACAACUAAUUAACCUUUUAGAAACUGUCUUGUUUACUCACCAACCCACUUGGGAUGAUUGUCAACAGCUUUUUCAGGUUCUCUUCACCACAGAAGAGAGGGAACACAUUCUUAUAGAGGCUCGAAAAAUGUUCUGGGGAAUACAGAUCCCAGCCACAGUAGAUGCAGCCUUUCUCCUUACUGGUCCCAUUUGGGAUUACAACACAGGUGAAGGUAAGGAGUGUCUCCUGGUUUACCACCAGGCACUGUGGGCAGGUCUCGAAAUGGCCACCAGACAGCCCACUAAUUUGGCAAAGGUGUAUGAUGUCAGGUAGGAACCUAAUGAAAGCCCAGCGGCAUUCCUAGAGAGGAUCAUGGAGGCUUACAGAUGUUAUGCUUCUUAUGAUCCUGAACACUCUGACCAAAAAGCAUCAGUGGCCCUGGCUUUCAUUAACCAGUCAGUACCAGAUAUUAAGAAGAAGUUACAAAAACAAGAAAGAUUAGAAGAAAAGUCACUGAGGGAUUUAGUUGGCAGAGGAGGUUUACAAUAACCGAGAUAGCCCAGAGGAAAAGCAGGCUAAGGCAUAAAAGAGGCAGAAUACGAACUUGGCUAAAGUACUUCUGGCUGUGACAGCUGAGCCCAGAGAAAGAAAGCGGCAGCUCCAACAACUUGCUAGUGGGAAAAGCCCGGAGGGAAGACAUGGAACGCCGUUAGGUAAGAAUCAGUGUGCUUACUGUAAAGAGGAGGGCCAUUGAGCAAGGCAAUGCUCAAAGAAAAGACCCAAGCCCAGAGUCAUGUUUGCUGAAGGAGAUAGUGAUUAAAAGGGAGGGGGUACGGACCCCUCCCUGAACCCAGGGUAGCUCUUGAGGUAGAGGGACUGGCUGGCCACCAGUGUUUGUGGAGCUUAAGCCAGGGGCAGAUCCACCCGGGUGUGCCAGUACCAAUGUCCCUGGAAGCAAAAAGGGGAAUAACCCCUCCCAUCUGUAAAUUACUCAACCUUGGGAUUCUCAGGCCUUGUCAGUCUGCCUGGAAUACCCCCCUGUUGCCUGAAAAGCCUAACUCAAAUGACUAUCGGCCAGUCCAGGACUUGAGGGAAGUCAGCCAGCGGGUGAUGGACAUUCACCCCUCUGUACCUAACCCAUACACUUUGCUGGGUUCCCUACCACCCGGAAGAGACUGGUAUACCGUCCUAGACCUGAAGGAUGCCUUCUUCAGCCUGCCGUCACUGGGGCCAAUCACACUUGGUACACGGACCACGGACGGGGAGCAGUUUCAUCCAUGAAGGCCAGAGAAAAGCAAGAGCAGCAAUAGCUACAGAAACAUAAGUAGUUUGGUCCCAGUCUCUUCCUGCAGGAACCUCUGCACAGAAAGCUGAGAUGAUGGCCUUGACCAAGGCCUUAACUUUGGGAAAGGACUUGGCAGUCAAUGUUUACAUGGAUAGCAGGUACGCUUUGCCAUAGUACAUGGUGCUAUUUACCAAGAACGGGGCCUGCUCACUGCUGAAGGAAAAGCCAUCAGAACUAAAGAAAUUCUGCAACUGCUCCAAGCACUCUGGCUGCCUAAAAGAUUGGCCAUCAUCCAUUGCCUAGGACAUCAAAAAGGAACCUCCUCUAUAGCCAAAGGAAAUAACUUGGCUUAUCAGAUGGCUAAGGAGGCCGCCCUACAAGAGACUGUUUUUUCUGUACUAACCACUGUUCUUCUGAACCACCCAAUCCCAACCUUCCAGAACAACUGGUCUAUACAGAGGAGGAAAUUAAAUGGGCUAAGAGUCUGUCCAUGAGUCAAUGUUUGGAGGGCUGGUGGCAAUCAGCUGAAGGUAAGCUAAUUAUACCUAACUCUUCAGGAGGGACCAUUCUUAGGAAAAUUCAAAGAGUCACCCAGAUGGGCAUCAGAAGAACGGCAGACGUGGUCAGACAAUCUAAAGUGACUUUCAAAAGUGUGCAUUCUAGAAGAUACUGUGACAGAUUGUAAAGUUUGCCAUCUAACUAAUGCCUCUAACAAUCCCAAACAACCAGGCUCUUACCACGACGUAAGAGACUGGGGGCCUGUUGGGAAACUGAUUUUACAGAAAUCAAGCCAGGAAAAUAUGUAAGUAUCUGCUAGUUUUCAUGGAUACCUUCUCUGGAUGGACAGAGGCAUUCCCGACUAAGACUGAGACUGCGAAGGUAGUAGCCAAGAAGGUUUUGGAAAAUAUCUUACCCAGGUAUGGCUUUCCUCACAGACAAUGGACCGGCAUUUGUGUCCAAGCUAAGUCAGGACAUAGUAAGGUUUACUGGGGCAGAUUGGAAACUGCAUUGUGCUUACAGACCCCAGAGCUCAGGACAGGUAGACAGAAUGAAUAGACUGUUAAAAGAGACCUUGACUAAAUUGACCUUAGAGACUGGCAGGGGCUGAGUGAUGCUUCUUCCUUUGCCCUCUAUCAGGUGAGGAAUUCUCCUUACCAGAUGGGGCUCACCCCUUUUGAGAUCAUGUAUGGUGUUCCAGCUCCCAUUGUGCCUAACCUGCAGUUGGCAGCUAUUGCAGAACUAGAAGAUGAUGACUUACUAUUUGGAGUCAAAGCAACCCAAUGGGCUCAUAAACUUGUUUGGCCUAAAUUGUGUACCCUUUAUGAAGCAGGCCCAGUUCCAGAACCACAUAAGUUCUGACCAGGAGACUGGGUCUACAUGAGGAGGUUUCGCCAAGGCACACUCAAGCCCAGAUGGAGAGGGCCUCACAUCAUUCUGCUGACCACACCAACAGCUCUUAAGGUGGAUGGGAUCGCUGCAUGGAUACAUUACACUACGCCAGACCAGCUAACCCGUUCUCCACCAAAGGGGACUGUCUGAAUCCUACAGCUCUAGAAUGGACAGUUUACCGUGGAAACAACCCUUUAAAGCUCAAGUUUUCCAGAUCUUAGCCCUCUCAGGACUUCUAACUGUAUGUACUGCUGACCAGAACCGGCAUACCCUUGACAACCAUACCUGGAGGCUUAAGGAUGACUAUGGAACAGUUAUUACUAGAGUCUCAAAGGUGGUUCCCCACAGAACCUGGUUUCCCAAGCUUAGCUUUGAUCUCUUAAAAAUCAUCCCCAAUGGAUGGUGGCUGAGGGUAAGAAAGGUCCUUUACUAUGUGUGUCCUUCAACUUAUGAUGGCCUACCUUGGUGGAAGCAUAAAUGUGGUCAUUUGUCUGGGGACUAUUUCUGUGCUAGUAGGGGAUGUAAAACUCAGAGCCCCUGGCUUCAUCAACCAAGGCCAGAGGCCUUAGUAGCUUUCUAGAGGGAUCUUGAAUCAAACUGUGAUUAUGUGGGAGUUAUUCAACCAAAGGAAGCCAAGCAGCCUUGUAACCAACUCAAGGUGACUUUUACUUAGCUAGGAAAAUCUUACAAUUGGGAAAAAGGUAAAAACUUUGAUAUCCAACUGCACAAACACGGAUACGAUGAUGGAGGAGUCAUCAAGGUUCUCCAUAAAUCUAGUCCUGACCAGCCCUCAGAGACUAGGACCAAAUCCAGUCUUAGCACCCAAACUAGCUUCUAUAUCUAAGGGCCCCACAAAAUGGUCAUGCCCGAACUUAAACCAGCUCCUACAUUCAAGGGCCCUACAAGACCCGUGACCACUUCUCCUAACCAUUUGCCCACCCAGGACACCAAUUCUGAUCUCUUGUGGGAUCUCAUGGUACAUACUUACCAAGCCAUUAACAGAUGUAGGCCUGAUUUAACCCAGUCCUGUUGGUUAUGCUACAAUACAGAACCUCCCUAUUACGAUGGUGUCACACCAUGGGAAACUAUAUAUUUCCUCUGAUAACCAUAGUCUAUGUAGAUGGCAGCAACCCUCCAUGGCCAGACUCACACUCCAGUCAGUUACAGGCCAGGGAACAGGGACGUGCACAGGUGAUGUUGCCAAGGAAUAUAAAGUUUUGUAAUCUAACCCAGGAUCUCACUGAUUCUGAGAAGACUAAGUUUCCGAUCCCUCCCGCCAGUAUCUGGUGGGCUUGUUCAACAGGAUUGACUCCCUGUGCCCUCGGCCAGUUGUUACAGUUCCCUGGCCAGUUCUGUAUCUUGGUGCUAACCCCCACAGUGGAGAAGACUUUGCCUCCUUCUGGGACUCCCCCUCAACCCUAAUAGACCUGCAUUUCAGAACAAAGAGGGAGCCCAUCUCUACCCUAACGUUGGCUGUCAUCCUGGGGUUGGGGGCUGCAGGGGUUGGAACAGGAAUCUCUUCCUUGGUACUCCAGGAUCAACAUUAUAGGCAGCUUAGGGAGUCUUUAGAUGAGGACGUCAGUAGAUUAGAGACUGUCAUCUCCCACUUGCAGGACUCCUUAUCCUCUUUGGCUGAAGUUGUAUUACUAAAUAGAAGAGGAUUAGACCUCUUAUUUCUACAGCAAGGGGGCCUUUGUGCAGUCCUUAGGGAAGAAUGCUGUUUUUACAUGGAUUACUCAGGCAUAGUUAAAGAUUCUAUGGCCAAAGUACAAGAAGGCCUAGAAAAGAGAAAAACUGAAUGGGAACAAUCCCAAAGUUGAUUCCAGUCAAUGGAAUCAAAAGUUUAAUGCUUCCUCCUGGUUAACAACAUUGGUUUCCACCAUAACAGGAUCUCUCCUCAUUCUGCUAUUGCUAUUAACCUUUGGCCUUGCAUUCUUAAUAAGCUAUUUCAAUGUAUAAGACAAAGAUUGGGAACUAUUUAGUUAAUGGUAUUGAGGUACCAAUAUCAACAACUCAAUACUCAGCUAUCAGAUCUCUGAGGAGCCCAGAUUGGCCUCUCUAGUUAUCAGAAGAGGGGGGAAUGAAGAAGUUAAAAGUAACUCCAUUUUGUUCCUCAGACUCCAUCUUGAGGUUGAUUGUCCUCAAGAUGACCCCCCCCCCCGGGUUCCAGUAAAUACCGCAGGCCCUCCACCCAGCCAGUUCCAGUAAAUGCUGCAGAAUGUGUUAAUGAAUAACUGCAAUAAGGAUCAGACAUUUUUAAAAUAACCUGUUCCCCCUUUAGGUUUGGACAAAUGACCUGAACCAAUCAGCUUAAAGGACACCUUGCUUACUGAACCCUUACCCAGCUUUACCCAGUCCUGUAAUACCAAAGCUUGUGGUUUCUUCCUUUAAAAACUCUGCCCUCCUGAGACUCAGAGCCGCUCUUUCUGAACUGCUGUGUCAGGGACGAUCGAGCUUGAAUAAAGCCCUCAUGUGUUUGCAUUGGA